AUACACAGCCAUAGCACCCUGAGAACGCCCCAUCUCAUCUGAUCUGGGAAGCUAAGCAGGGUUGGGCCCGGUCAGUACUUGGAUGGGAGACCUGGUGGCCAGGAAGC
rnacentral:rRNA from 1 species